rnacentral:rRNA from 1 species
GACGAACGCUGGCGGCGUGCCUAAUACAUGCAAGUCGAGCGGAUUUACUUUGCAGCUUGCUGCAAAGUGAGUUAGCGGCGGACGGGUGAGUAACACGUAGGCAACCUGCCCUAAAGACCGGGAUAACAUUCGGAAACGAAUGCUAAGACCGGAUAGGCAACGAGGCGGCAUCGCCUUGCUGAGAAACACGGUGCAAGCUGUGGCUUUAGGAUGGGCCUGCGGCGCAUUAGCUAGUUGGUGGGGUAACGGCUCACCAAGGCGACGAUGCGUAGCCGACCUGAGAGGGUGAACGGCAACACUGGGACUGAGACACGGCCCAGACUCCUACGGGAGGCAGCAGUAGUGAAUCUUCCACAAUGGGCGCAAGCCUGAUGGAGCAACGCCGCGUGAGUGAGGAAGGCUUUCGGGUCGUAAAGCUCUGUUGCCAGGGAAGAAUAAGGAUGUGUUAACUGCACAUUCGAUGACGGUACCUGAGAAGAAAGCCCCGGCUAACUACGUGCCAGCCGCCGCCGUAACAC